UCUUGCUGUGGCUUCCUCAUGGCUGGAGCUGUGACUCUUAGACCUCCUUUCACUGUCACAAUGGCUCCACUAUCCUCCUCUUCGUUCUCACCUUGUAGGUUUCUCACUAUCUGCAUGUUCACGCCGAACGCUUCUUUCAAGAAUUCAGGGGCGAAGCCACUCAAUAUGUUGCUUCCUUCGUUUUCUUCUUCUUGUUGCUUUCCUUUCUGGCUUUGGGAACCUCCUUGCUGCUGCUGCUGAUAUUUUAGAAACUCUUGCUCUUGGUUCCCAGCAAGAUAGAAUCUCUGCCAAGAAUUGUCAAAACAAAUAGUUGUCAAUCCGUAACCAGCUAGUAUUAGAACUUAAGAAUUCUAAUCUUAACGUUACAAUGUAGUCCAGUUUCCUUUUUUUAUCAGCUACAAUAUUGUCCAUGUAUUUCAAGACAAGAACCAAAUUGGAUAAAAAAACACAACUAUAAGGAUCCAAUUGGCAUAUUUUAAUCUAUAGGUACUAAAUUAGAAAGUGCAACUCCACGAACUAAAAUGAUAUUUAAACCUUUAAAGAAUUAUAAUAUCUAAUAUUGCUAUGUGGCUCACCCUAGGCAUCUGGUCGAGCUGGUUCUCCAAGCUGUUGGUGUCAAUAAUAGAAACGGCAACAACAGGAGUGUCUUCAUUGUUGUACAUCCACCAUGCAACACCAGUAGGCACUGCGAUCAAAUCACCCUCUCUGAAGCGAUGUACCUUUUGGUGACGGUCUUGGGGCCUCUGGCUUCGUCCUCGUUGCUGAGAUUCUUGCGGCUCUUGAUAAGUGCUAGGACAACCCGGGAAUAUCAUGCCAAAAAUACCAUUACCUAUUCAUAUAUAUUACACAACAACACAAAGAAAAAAAAAACAUUAGCAUAACCAUUUUCUUUUCAAAAUGCAUGGUUUCACAAAACUGAGAAAUUGAAACAAGUUAUUAUUAAUUUGAAUAUAUAAGAUAGGUUGGACGGUUAAGAAGAAAAACAAAAGCCACAGUUUCAAUCAAUUUUACUAACAAAAACUAACCAUUAACAUCUGAUAAAAAAAAAAUUAAACAAGAUUAUGGACCUUGUUGUAUGUAGAUUUCCUGGGGACCGUUGGUGUAGGAAGGUCUACGAAGGGCAUUGCGGUUAAGGGUGCAGCGAGAGAGGGCAACACCGGCACACUGGAAUGGCUUGUUGUUAGGGUUCCAGGUCUCAAUGAACCCACCUUCCGACUCUAUACGGUUAUCCGGUUUGAGGGCAUUCAGCUUUUGGAUCUGGCACUCAUUUUGCUGUGCCUGCUCUCUCAGAGCGAAGCAGCCACUGAAAAGAAGGAAACAAAGGGAAAGAACAAGCUUGGCCAUGGUGAUGAGUGUUCAAAGACAAUGGAGAGAAUGUUUGUGUUGUGAAGCGGAGAACCUGAGGCGUGGUUAUUUAUAGGGAAGAGAGGAAGGUGGGUGAGGGACACGUCACAGGAGUGGGGUGCUGAGCUUGAGACAUUCUUCAGUAUGCAUGGCUAUGGAAGCCUUGUGUGUUACACCUCAUUAAGUUCAUGGGUGUGAGGUGGCUUCGACAGUUCGACAUCAACAUUAUGUGACAAAUACCAAGUGUGUUUGUAUUGCAUGCAAUUGCCAGAAAACGGUGGUGGAGAGGGGGACCAUGGUUUCAUUUCAUGUUCGCGGGUUUAUGACAUAUGAAAUUAUAUGAAUACACCGUGUGACAAUGAUGGGAUCCUCAAAGUGAGAAGAAGGGCCGUCCAAAAAUGACCUCACUCUAGGGAUAGAGAAAUUAUUAGGUGUUAUGAAAUUAUCACUAUUCAUGGUUUUGACAGAUCUUUAUGUGAUACUAGUUACUCAAUUUUUUUUAAUUUAAUUAGGAAAUAAUUAAUCAUACUUUAAUUUACAUAUCAUAAAGAUUAGUGGAGAAUAAUUUGUACUGUAUAUAUAAUAAUUUCUUGGAUAGAGAAAUUAUAUAUUAGGGACAUUUUGUUUUUUGGAUUAUCCUCGUUUUGAUUGUCAAUAUAAAAAAAAAGUAAGCGAAAAUAAGAAGAAAAUGACUAAGUUUUAAACAAUUAUAUUAGUUAAACAAAAAUACUUAUAUGUUUUAGGUCUAUAAUAAAUAUGAUUAAUUUUAUUUUGAGUUCUAAUUUUAAUUUUUUUUUCUUUGUAUUGGAUUCUUAUAUCUUAAAAAAUUUAUUUUGACUCUUUAUCAUAGGUAGGUUAGUAAUGACAUAUCAAUCAAUUAACAAAUUACAAAGUCAGAGUUUAAAAACUGUGGGUAUUUCUGAUAGAAAAUAAUCUGGAUUGUCUCUAACUCAUUAGCCUCUCGAUUUUGUCAGGUUCGGGCUUAGUGAAUGCAACGGAUUCUUGGGUGUGUUCCAAUCUGCGUUGUGGCUUGGUUUCUUUUGCGGCCUCAAACACUUUCUUCUUCUCCGGAGGAAGUUUUUUAAACCCUCAUCCGAAUAAAGUAACCCCAUGUAAGCAAUUUUUAAACCCGUAUAGUCCGAAUAAACAAUUUGAAACCGCCCGAUUGUGUCUUUUUAUUUAUUCCUUUAGUGUGGGUUUGGUUCGAGCUUCUCUCGGGUUUAUGCUCAGCCCUAGCUACUACCAUUAUUCAUUUAAAAAAUAAGUUACAAUUUGUGACAGUUUGAAAGCUGUCAGAAUCAAUUAAAACAAAAAAAAUUAAAAAAUUAAAUGUAUUUUGAUCCUCCUAUUUUAUCAAAUCCAUAAAUUUGGUUUUUUAGUUUUAAGAUUUUAAAAUUGAGACCGUUAAUUCCUCUCUUUUCUAAAAUCAGGAAAUUAAAUUUUUCUGUCAAAUUAGUUGUGUUGACCAAAUGUUGACUGUUAAAAUUUUCUUUCUUCUUUUUCCUUUUGCUUUCACAUAAACCUCAGUCUUAUUUGUUCAAGGAAUUAUGCACAUUUUGUGCCCACUGUCCAUGGCUGCCAAAAGUUUCUUGGUUAUUCGAGUCAAUUAAUGCAACAAUCUGGAUAGAUUAAUUGUAGUUCUAUGCAAUGAUUAAGAACUAUCAAAGCAUUAAGAACUUGUAGCUCCUCACACACGAGAAAUAAGAAAUGGACAAGAAUGAGAAUGAGGACUCGAGCCUAAAAUUUAAGGCCAUGGACACCAAAUAUACGGGAAUGAUUGCACAUUUUGCAGGAAAUAAGUAGUGAGCCACAAACAUAAUUCCAUUUAUUCAAAGAAUAGUUAAGUUAUCAUCUUUAUAUAUUUUAAACACUUAAAUUAGCACCUUUACAUUAAAAGAACGCACACUAAUAUUAUUAAAAAAAGUAUUCAUCAUUUUGUAGGCCAACUUAAAAUAUAAUAUAUUAUAUAUAUAUAUAUAUAUAUAUAUAUAUAUAUAUAUAUAUAUAUAUAUAUAUAUAUAAUAUUAAAAUACUUAAUGUUUCUCACCUUUUUUAUGUUUGUUAUCAUAUAAAAAAACAUAGAUGAAUUUUAAAAAGUAAAUUAUUUACCAUCAAUUUAUAUAUUUGUUAAGCUACACAUAUUUUUUUAUUAGAGUUCUUUUUUUGUGUGUGUAAAAAUAUAUGUGAUGUCCUGUCAUUCUAUGUUUUACACAUUAGCUAUGCGAGAGUGUCUGUGCUCAUAUUGUGUCUGAUGUCCAUGUCGAAUUUCAAGCUUCAAAAUAUCAACUAACUAACUUGUGAGUCAAAUUACCGAUUGGGGGUAAUUUUUUUUAAAAUUUAUCAUUUGAGGAUAGAUUUUAAAUUAAUAUUCGUUUAAGGUUUAUGAAUUGAAAGUCAUGAAAAUGAAAUUAAUAUUUCUUGAAACCAAUAUCUAUUUAGUGUGGACAAUGGACAUCAAGACAUCAUAUGCAACACCAUCCUUGACUCUGUUGAAAAUUAAAAUCCCAGAAAAACACAUUUUUUAGCUCCCAUGUUAAAUUUGGAGCGAUGUUUUAUGUUUGAAGACACAAAGCACAAUGGUCCAAAUACUCUCGAACUUUCCAAGUUGGGUUGAGCUCCAAGUCAUGAAGAACCUGAUAAGACGUCUUCAUUCUUAAAGUUAAUCUUCAACUAUUGGGUCUGCAAUACUUUCAAUUUUAGUCUUCUACAUCAUGUCCUGUCCUGCCAACACUUCCUAAAGAUAUCAUCGAUCAAGCUAACUAUCAUUGGACCAAUCGUUAUUGUUUGCCUUUUGUUUUGCAAGAAGCUCAGAAGAAAGAAAAAAAAAAGAGAGAGAGAGAGAGACAAAAGAAGAUUUGACAGAAAACUCAUUGGAAUUUCUCCUUUUAUUCCCGCAAAAGUUUCGUGACUCAUUAUAGAGAGUACUUACAUUAUUAUUUUACAGUGAACAAAAGGCAAGCUAAAGCCUUUGUUUUCUUAUUCAUUAUUAUUAUUAUUAUUUAUUGGUUGCUAGCACUAUUGCCAAAAAGACAAAAGUGGGGUAGCACAUACAAAAAGGGCUCUAAGCCACAGCUCUCUUCUGAGACUCCUGAGGUGGAACCAGGAACUUGAAAGGGUUGUUGUUCUUUAUCUGCCUGGCCUGCUGGCUUUUUAGGUUGAAAGUGUGCUGAAUCACUUCCUCUGGUAAUGCGUUCAACAAUGAGUUUGCCCCUGCAAGAGUGCCGAUCAUGGGUGUAUCAUUGGUCUUGAAUGACACAUACUCGAAGUUGUCACUCUGUGAUCUUGCAGCCACCACAAAGUUUUGUGGCACGAUCAGCACCCGUCCCUCUUGCAGCUCUCCAUCAAACACUCUCUCACCGUUGCAAUUCACCACUUGUAUCAAUGCCCGUCCAUUCAAUGCGUAUAUUAUGCUGUUCGCGUUCAGGUUGUAGUGUGGCACGAACAUUGCAUUCUGCAUCGUACAUCAAUGCAUGCAAGAGUCACAACAAAUUCAUCCAAUAUUUUUAUAAUAAUACUAUUUUUUGUUUUGCUUUUUUCAUCAAUCUUUUCUUUUUUUUUCUCUCUAUUUCUAUAUAUAAAGACAGAAAAGAUAGAAUCCAUGCAAGUGUUAAGAUAACUCCGUCACACAUUUUAUAGUGUAUCUAAGAUUAUUAUUAAUCAAUAAAUCAUUAGUCUAAGUAUAAAUAAUGUAAUUAAGAUGAAAGACUCCAUUAAAAGUGAUCAAACAAAUUUUCUAAAAAAAUUAAUUAUCAAUAAAAUUAAUAAAUAUUUGGCAACAAAUAUUAGUUUAAUGUAUAAAUGUAUGUUGAUCUUUGAUGAAUGAUGUACGUACCUUGCGGAGAGAUCCAAACUCAGCACUGAGUCUGAGCCACGAGAGGGCUGGGAAGUCAAGGCUGGUGGCGGUUGUGACGCUACCGGCUUGAGGGUUGUAGAUGUCAGGUGAUGAAGUCUGGCCAAUGUUGUGGCGAAGUCUCAUGGUGCAUAUGGUCUCGUCAAUGCCAUUUCUUCUGCUUUUGCUUUGGCUUCCUCGGGGGCGUUGGCAGUGUUUGUCUUUACCCUUGCACUGUGGCUUCUCAUCCUCUUCUUCUUCUUCCUCUUCCUGGGGUCUUUGUUGCUGCUCGUCCGUGGGUGGUUUUAUCACGCUCAGACCUCCUUUCACUGUCACAAUGGCUCCCUUGUCUUCCCCUUCGUUCUCUCCUUGUAGGUUUUUCGCUAUCUGCUUGUCCACGCUGAAUGCAUGUUCCAAGAAUUCCAGGGUGAAGCCACUCAAUAUGCUGCCUCCUUCGUUUUCUUCUUCUUGCUGAUGCUUUCCUUUCUGGCUUUGAUGACCUCCUUGCUCUUGCUGAUAUUUUAGAAACUCUUGCUCUUGGUUCCCAGCAAGAUAGAAUCUCUGCCAAGAAUUGUCAAAACAAAUAGUUGUCAAUCUGUAACCAGCUAGUAUUAGAACUUAAGAAUUCUAAUCUUAACGUUACAAUGUAGUCCAGUUUCCUUUUUUUAUCAGCUACAAUAUUGUCCAUUUAUUUCAAGACAAGAACCAAAUUGGAUAAAAAAACACAACUAUAAGGAUUCAAUUGGCAUAUUUUAAUCUAUAGGUACUAAAUUAGAAAGUGCAACUCCACGAACUAAAAUGAUAUUUAAACCUUUAAAGAAUUAUAAUAUCUAAUAUUGCUAUGUGGCUCACCCUAGGCAUCUGGUCGAGCUGGUUCUCCAAGCUGUUGGUGUCAAUAAUAGAAACGGCAACAACAGGAGUGUCUUCAUUGUUGUACAUCCACCAUGCAACACCAGUAGGCACUGCGAUCAAAUCACCCUCUCUGAAGUUAUAGAUCUUCUGGUGACGGUCUUGUGGUCUGCUGCUUUGUCCUCUUUGUUGAGGUUGUUGAGGCUCUUCAAAUGUGCUAGGACAACCCGGGUAUAUCAUGCCAAAAAUACCCUUACCUAUUCAUAUUACAAAACAACAAACAAACAAAAAUUAGGAACCCAACAUUAUCAAUGAUAUGAUUAUGUUACGUCAUAUGGAAGAAAUCAAAACAAAAAUUUUAAUAUAUAAAAACUCAAAACAAAAAAAAUUAUUAAAAAUCUAAAAUAAAAUUCCCUCAUUUAUCAAACCCUUAAACAUAUUUAAGUCUAUUAUAUAUUUAUAUGUGAAGUUUGGACAAGAUGGACCUUGUUGGAUGUAGAUUUCCUGGGGACCGUUGGUGUAGGAAGGUCUACGAAGGGCGUUGCGGUUGAGGGUGCAGCGAGAGAGGGCAACACCGGCACACUGGAAUGGCUUGUUGUUAGGGUUCCAUGUCUCAAUGAGCCCUCCUUCUGACUCUAUACGGUUAUCCGGUUUGAGGGCAUUGAGUUUUUGGAUCUGGCACUCGUUUUGCUGAGGCUGCUCUCUGGAACUGAAAGCGAAGCAGCAGCCACUGAAAAGCAGAAAACAAAGGGAAAAAACUAGCUUGGCCAUGGUGAUGACUGAUGAGUGUUUAAGGACCAAUGGAGAGAAUGUUUGAGUUGUGAAGCGGAGAACCUGAGGCGUGGUUAUUUAUAGGGAAGAGAGGAAGGUGAAUGAGGGACACGUCACAGAAGUAGGGUGCUGAGCUUGAGACAUUCUUCAGUAUGCAUGGCUAUGGAAGCCUUGGGUGCUACACCUCAUGAAGUUCAUGGUGUGAGGUGGCUUCGGCAUCUCAAUUAAGUGACAAAGAGAAAGGUGUUUCAGUGUUUCUAUUGCAAAUGGCAGAAACUCGUGAUGACGAGGGGACCAUGCAUGGUUUCAUUUCUUUUCUUCCUGGAUUCUUUCUUUCCUUUUAUAUAUGCAGGUUCAUAAUUUAAAAAUUAGACUCGCUUUCAAUUUCUUAAUUUCUCAUUUUCCUCUUAUAUUACUGUACUAAUGUUAACCACGUACACUUAUUUUUUUUUUAGUUUAAUUUUGAUAGAUUGUGUUGAUUUAAACAUAUUAAUAUUUUCAACCAAAUAAAAAUCAUUUUAGUAGAUACGGCUUUUUAAAUAAUUAUUAAAAAUAUUAACUAUUUAUCCUAAAUGGCACAUUUUAAUUAAAAAAAAUCCGGUGUUGUAAGUGUUUUAUUAAUUUGUUUUGGCAUUAUUAAAGCAACUUUUUUUUUAUUUGUUGGCAUUUUGAGUACGUACUUAGGCUACCUCCUAUAUGAAAGUGAUUGAGUUGUUUUUGCUUAUUAAAUGCCAUGCUUAAUAAGAACCUUUUAUGAAAGUUUGUGGUUAUUUUGAUUAAAUUAUAUCACAAUAAUAUUUAUAAAACAGAUAAAAGUUAAUGUCGAUGAAUGUAAGAGUGUCAAGUUACUUGUGGAGUCUAUUUAAUAAAAUUUUAAAGUUGUUGGUUUUGGUGAUAAAAGUUACAUAAUGUAAAAGGUAAGAAAUAAGUUAUAUAUAUAAAGGGUGAGACUACUUAAGAUGUGAAAAAGGUUGAGAGAAAAAAAAUAGAUGUUGAGUUGGAAAAGCUCAUGAUUUACUUCUUUGAAAAUAGAAAAAUAUAUAAAUAAUUAUAAUCGGAUUGAUGAUUAUUUAAAUAAAAUCUAAAAAUUGUGUUUGUGUUUUAUAAGAGAGAAUUCAAAUCCUCAAAGUACUUAUAAGCAUACAGCUACUUUUUCUUUCCUGUCAAUACUUUUUUUUUCUAUUCUUCUGUUUUUUAGUUCUUAUAUAUUAGUUUCUUCUCUCUAUAAAAUAAGGUGGAACUAGAUUGAUGUUUUUUCUAAAUCCCUAAACUUUUUUUCUUUCCUAUUUUGACGAGGUUUGUAAUUUUUGAAUAAUUUCCUUGUUACCAUUUUAUUUAAAGUUUUUGGCUGACAUUUUUCCUUUUAAAACUUGAAGCUUGUGUUGUUGAACCACUUUUAAAAAGAAGAAAAAUUAAUUACAGGUUUUAAGUGUUGUUUGUAUUGUUCUCCAAUUAAAAUUGGAGUUUAAUUUAAUCUACAUAUUUUUUUUUAGUACAAAUCUUGAGAUAAAUUUCAAUUCUAAUAACAGAACAUGACAAACAGCAUGUUAAGAACUAUAUUUAAAUUUUGUCCAAUCAAAAAACCCUUUUCUUGCUUAAUGAUGGAGCUAUAUAUUGUUCUACAUAUUUCAAGUUUCUUAUUCCAUUAUAGUACUACAUUGUUUAUUGAGAGAAGAAAUAUAUAGCACUAUAUAUAUUGUUAACUAAUUAUGAGCUAAAUUUUAAAAAGUGUAGAAUAUAUAACUUGUAGUCACCCUUGCGUGGUUCAAUCUUCAUCACUCCAUGCUCUGCAACUUGAAUCAAGAAACUGGUGAUUGGUGAAUGUUCAUCACUCUAAGCCCAAUCUGACAAACCUAGCUACGUGAUAAACUCACUCCAGCACGUGCUAAGGGAAGGAAGGUACUAUCCACAUUUGCAAGGUAACCUCUAAUGUGGACCCUGCAACUGAGUUUUGUACAUUUAGGACUCGCAGAGCCGGGGUACUUGGUCAGAUAAAAUGUGAGAGUAGUUCUCCAACAGCUGCACAAAGUAAAUUAUUGCUUGCUAUGCAACUUGUAGAUUUACUUGCUAUGCAACUUGUAGAUACAAUGCAGUAAUAUUACGAUAAGAACAAGGCCAAAAUGACAAAUAAUACUCCAAUCAGUUAAUAAUGUGAAGAACGUUACCUUUUUCAGAGUCCAAUGCAUCAUCAAUAUCACCAACCAACACAGAUGCAGAUCCCACAUGAGCAUGGCUGCAUGGCUCCUGCAUGCAUCAUACCACCUGUCACUUAGAAUGCAGCAUCGUGACAGUUGAACCCACCGUUACCCAUGCAACUACUUGGAUAGCAAACAAAAUUAAUUCUACCUUAUAAAAUCAUGGUCAAACAAUGAAAAAGUAGAAGCAAUCAUUUGUUGCUUCACCUUCACCAUGAAUAUAUUCAAAACACCCUAUUAAUUCCCCCUUGACCAUUAUUCCCAACGGAUUCAGUUAUGUGUAGGAGUUAGCUUGUAAGUUGUAACUAGAAAUGUACGUGUAAACCAUCUUGUAUAUAUGCCAUACCAGUACUGAUUUCAACUGACUGAAUGAAUAUACAACUUUUCUCUCCAAAUUUGUUAAUCAUAUUCACCUAAUAUGAGAAGAGGAGAGGGCUUGUGAGGAGCCCCAUUCAGAACUUGCACACGUAACUCCUAGUUGAAAUUUUAAAGUGAAAAUGCUAUCCAAUGAGAGAGUUUUAUAUGUUCUUUUAUUGAAUGCAAAUAAUAUCUGAAGAUGAAUGGGAUCCUUCACUAUAAUUGUACAUCAAUCUGUAUUGAAAACAUGGAAACAACACACAAUAAACUAAUAAAGUGUCCAAAAUGCACAACUACUGUGUCAAAGUAUGCUAAACUCUGUAUCUAUCCCAUCAAUAUUUUAAACCUAUAUUUCAGCUUUGCAACAUCAUAAUAGCAAUUCAAAUUUCCUCCCCUAAACACAAUUUUCAUUUUCAUCACACUCAGAAGGUCUUCACCAAAAAAGGACUCUGCUUCUACAUUCAUUUGUCAAUAUAUACAAGAAAUUCUUACGUGCUUCCAAAGCUAGAAUUUUCUCUUGAUUUAUACUAUUGAAUGUGUAUCACAUCAACAAGGUGGCCAUCACUAUCUGAGUCAAAUGCAUUAGUAGUGCUAUAUCUGAUGUGGUACACGUUUAUAUUAGAAAUACAGAGUAAGCGAUUUUCCUGGCACUUGUAGCACCUGAGAAUUUCUCUAGUCAAAAUAAGAGCAAACUGGAUAUAACUGAUUUUUCUUCAGAUCCAGCCUUUCCCUAUUUAAAUUGUUCAUGGUUUCUCUUGAGCUCAUCAGAGCUAGAAAUCAGAUUUUUGGAUGCAAUGGAUUUCAUCACCCAAUAACAACAUAAAAUUGAUCAAUUAAACCAUUAUAAGAGCCAUGAUUCUUGAAUUUCUGAUACGAAACGCUACACUACAUACUACUGCUAAGGAACUAAGAAGGAAACUAAUGGAGAUAAUUGUUCUGAUUGAUUCUUCAUUCCACUUUAUUUACAUAUUUAUACUAAUAUGCUAAUAGAAUGCAAUUUGUUGUAACAGAAUUAUCACCAUCAACGAUUCUUCAUUCCACUUUAUUUACAUAUUUAUACUAAUAUGCUAAUAGAAUGCAAUUUGUUGUAACAGAAUUAUCACCAUCAACAAACUAGUGGAAUGUUGUAACUAAUUAAUGAAGAUUUCUGCAACCAUUUAGUGCCUUUGUGCAUUUUGGCGCUCAAACGAAGUCCUGUAGGUAAGUGGCUUCUGUAUUGUGACCUGUGUGGUAUUCUACUGAAUUGCUAUCAAUUUCAAUCAUACCAACCAACGUAGCAUGUGAGACGUAAAGUGUAUAUGUUUGGUUUUUUCUCUUGCCCCCAUAAGAAUUUAGAUAUAGGAUUAAUUGUUAACAAUAAAUUUGCAGUUCACUUGUGCACAUGCUGCUUCAUUAUAGGUAGCGCUAAACCUCAAGUUUCAGGUAAAAAACGUGACAUGCAAUCCUCCUUUACAACAAGCAAGUGACAAAACACAAACUAAACAAACAAAGUAGUCAUUUCUAUAUAACUUACAAAACAAAACAUUAUUAUCAUAAAUAAAACUCAAACAAGAGUCCGAUUUUCUAAUCUGUACUCCAAUGUGCGCGAUUAGUUGUCUCCACACUCUAUGCACUAACAACAGUACUAACUUCAUCCCCUUCUCGCAUUAAUAAUAUAAGGAAGCGGAUCAAAAUGUGGGAACCACUUAAUAUUAUGAGAAACUAGCAUGAUCUCACAAGGAUGUUAUCACAAUCCUCGGGAUGGAAACUCCUGCCAAUUACACAUUUGGGCAAUGUAAAUCACCCGCAUAGAAGGACUAUAGCUUAUUACAAGAUAUGAACAAAGACAAGAUAAAAUGCGAAUUAGAAGAUACAUAUGCCAACUAUGCUUUGCUCAUUCGGUAUCUCGCUUGAAACUAGAUUCAGCAUUCUUCUCCUUCGUGCCAUCAUCUACUAUUUUAGUUUCAGCAAGACCAUCCACUAUUUUAGUUUCAGCAAGAUCAUCUCUCUCGCCCUCAGUUGCAUUGACUUCAAGAGUGUUAGACUUUUGGGGAAGCUUUCGAUCCAGAUUCUGAGCAGCUUCAGAUUCUUCAUUUUCGGGUACUUCAUUGGGGUUUUGAACAGCUUUGGCAUCAUGCUUGUCAGUGUCAGCAUUUUGAGGUUGUUGUGCCCCAGAACUUUGAGCAGCAUCUAACUCCUCAUAUUUAGAAACAAUCUGCUGCAGCUCGUCAUUGAGAUAUAAAGCCUCAAAAAGUGUUGCUUCAUCGUUUGUAGUGCUUUCCACUAUCCCCUUGAUGAUAGAGAGAGAUUGCUUGCACUUAUCCAACAAGCUCACGGUUAAAUCUUCCUACAGCCACACAAAAUUAUUGCAAAUUCCAUCAUCAAACAACUAUUCUGUCAGCAAUAUAGAGAAGAAAAUAAAGGGCAAAUACUUCUUCUAUAAACACUUACAAGAAAAGAAACUACAAAACAGAGUAGAUGAACCUUCUGCCAUAAGUUAAAAUCAACUUAUGCAUCUCAACUUUUGGAUAAGUUAAAUGAGAAUUUAUUCUACAGAAGUUGGAACGCAAAAGUUGAUUUUAACUUGUCAGAGAAGUUUAAUAUAUCUUAACUUUUUAUUUUCUUCUUCUCCUACAAGUACUUAUUGAAAAGUCUGUCCGAACAAGGCCAUAUAUAGCAAUUAUCUAACAGUAGUAGAUGGAAAGCAUGGGGAAAAAAAAAAAGAGGAAAAAGAAAGACUGGAUGCAUACAAAAAAACAUCAUGAUGAAGUAGUAUACAAAACACCAAUUUAUUAUUCGGGUAAUGUUGAUUUUCUCUAACAUCAAGAUGUUUACCUUCAAAGUUUUAGGCUCUGCAUCAGAAUUCAAUAUGCUAGAGAGCAAUUCGAGACUGUUUCGAGCAACCACAAGAUGCUCUUUCCUCUCUUCAACUGAUAUGUGUUGGUAAUUAGAAGAGAAAGCUGCUGGAUCAUCAAUAUCAUGUAGUUCAGCUUGAGGAAUUGGGUAUCUUUCAGGGGCAUCUACAUAUGACUCUGAGGCAUACGGAACAUGUGGUGAAUUUCCUCCCGCCAUGUCAACCGGUUCAUCCCUUCCUUUCAAACUCUGCCAUCAAAAAGAUAGGAUGAAGGAUUCAAAUAAAUGUGAAAGAGAAGGAUGCAAGAGAAUCUAUCACAGUAAAAUGUAGAAAUAGAAGGCAUUGCAUAAAGUGCAGAAAAUAAGUGAGAACAUGAAGCCCAAUACAAUUACAUUUCAAAAUCAAUAUUCUGUACAAGAUAAAAAUCCCCAGCGUCACCUGAGAAAUGAGUAUACCCCAUUUUAAUCAAUACUCCCUGAAUAUGCUGGGCGUAUUUAUAGCAGUCCCUGAAUUAGAAAAAUAUCAAAUAAAUUCCUAAAAUUUAAAAAAUUUAUUCGACAUUUAUCUAAUUUCAAGGACUAGUACGAUAGUGUCUCACAAAUUCAGGUACUAAAAUAGGAUUUACUAUGGGAGAAAGCUUCUUCUUUUUUUUUUUUUUUUGUCCAGACCACAGGUAUCAAGACAAGAGUAACAAACAAGUAAUCCAGUUAUGGCAAUAUCCUCAAUCAGUAAAAAUAAAUAAAUAAACAGACCAUAUAAGUUUGACGAAAGACGGGAAGAUAAGCGAGAUCCUCGGACUCGCCCCAGGCCCGAAUCAACUGAAAAGCCCGGCUGCGGGUCUGGUGAUGGGCCUGCGGGUUAUCGAUGAGGCGAAUGAUCUCAUCGAGAACCUUCUCGGAAGCGAUUUCGGAGAAGACCUUGUCGCAAUUCAUGGCGCAGGCUUCGAGGAGGUCAAGGCUGAGGGUCUGAACGACGGGGCUCUUGUGAUUGAUCUUUCUCUUGAUGGCCUUAACGACCUCAGAGCCGUUGAACUGGUCGCUGUUGAUCAUGCCACAGAUUCUGAGAUUCAUGCCCCAAUUGGGUUCUUCCAUGGUCUCCAGCGUGGCCUCGUCCACCAUCUUGGACUCCGGCGUCGGCGCCUGAAGCAUCUCCUUCACUUUUCCGCUCACCAUUCGCCCCAUCUGGGCCCCACCGGUCUUCAGCCUCUCACCCAGUUGCGCCCACUUCAACCGCUCCAUCGUGUAAGGAACCCUAACUAGAUCGGGUGAAAUGUGAGGAAAGUAAAAAGCUGAGCUUUGAAGAUUAUAAAGUGAACAAGUGACGAGAGACAAGAGGGGUGUGUGUGGUGGUGUCAAUAUACUGAUCAAUUGCUUGUGACACGUUUUUUUUAUUUUAAAAAAAAAAAAAUCAAUGCCGUAGACUGGGAUUUGUUUGUGGGUGGGAUUUAAUUAAUGAUAAUAAAUUAUGCAUUUAACUCAUUUUCACGUCUUUUUCUGUCUCGCCCUAAAUAUUUUAAUCAUGAGUUGAAUUUGUCACGGUUUCAACUUAAAAAUUUUCACGUCGAAUCUAACCAAUACAAAGAUUGUGUUAGGUGUCUUCUUAAGAAGAUAUUUUUGACAAAUUGAUGUAGGGAUUAAUAUUUUAUUUAUAUAUAUAUGUCUGAUUUUUAUGUAAUCUUCUUAUAUAAGCAAGACUUAUUUUAAAAAAUAUAGGUAUUUUUGUAUUAAAUGAUUUGUCUUUUGACAUAUAAUAAAUAAAAAUUCUAAAAUAAGUUAAUAUAAUAAAGAAAUUGAGUUAUUAUGUAAUAAAAUAUGUAUUGAUGUUAGAAAUGGGACUCUUAUUAUUAUUUAAGUUUAUUUAAUUUUUUUUUAUAAAUGACUAUAAAUUAUCAAAACAGAUUUAUAAGUUUUCAAUUAUUCAUCACAUGUCCAAAAUAUUUUAUCAAAGAAAAUAUAAAUAAAAUCAAUUUAAUAUAAUGAAAUUGAUAAAUCAUUGAUCAAUUAAGUUAAAUGAACUUAAUUUUUUUAUAGCAACUUUACAUCAUUAAUAUAUGCAAUAACAUAAUGUAUAAUUAAUACAGGAUAUUAUAUAUAUGUAAAAAAAUACGUGAUGAAUUAUAUUUUGAAGUUUAAAAAAAUGAAAUUUUUUGUUGUAAUAUGUUUUUGAUAUGAAAAAUAUCUGAUUAAUUUAAAAUAAUAAAUCAUUAUUAAAGAGUACACAUAUAAAAAAUAAUAUACUAAUAAAUAUCAAAAAAGUAGAUAAGCAAUUCAUAAUAGAAAAUAGAAAAAAUAACUUCCCUUAAAUUUGAAAGACUUUUCGAUAAAUAACAUAUCAAGUCAUAUUUAAAUUAUCUCAGUUAUUAAUAAAAAUAUUUCGGUUAAUAGGUUUUCAUUAAAAAAGAUAUGAAAUAUUUUAUUAUUAACAAAAGUAUUUUCAUUAAUAGGUUUUCAUUGAUAUAUCUUCAUUACCAAAAUAAUUUUUUGUCAAUCAUAUUUUUAGGUUAAAAUAUAUUUUCCGUCUCUAUAAAUAUCAAAAAAUCCAAAAUUCAUCCCUAUAAAAUUGAAAUGUGUGUCUUUUUUUGGUUUGGAAUUAAGCUUUGGUGAAUAUGAGCCUACAUGGUUUAAAACUUAAAUUAUAAGCUAAAAUAUAUUUUUCAUCCCUAUAAAUAUCAAAAGGUUCAAAUCCAUCUUUAUAAAAUUUUGAGUCUUUUUUUCAUCCUUGAAAAAUUGAAAUUUAUUAUUUUUGGUCGGAAGUAGGUUCAGAUUUACUCAGUUUGAUCGACGACAGUGAUUUAUGGGGGUUAAAAUCACCACAAAAUGUAAAAAGAAAAACCCACACAUUUGUAAAUCUCUCCUCCCUAACUUUCUUCAUCUUCUUUGUCCACCAAGCUAAUAUGAGAGAGAUGAAUUUGAGAGUUUGUUGACAAUGUUUGAUUAUGAUAGAACACUUGAAUUGAUAUUUAUAGUGUUAAGUUCGAGAAUGAAGGUGUUAGGCUUUUGGAAGGAAGAAAAAUUUAAAAAAAUUAUUUAUUUAAAUUCGAAGAAGAUAAAGAAAGUUAGAGAAUAAUGAGUUUAAGAAAUAAAAACUUAUAAAUUUGUGUAAUUUUUUUUUUCUGGAUUUUGUGAUUAUUUUUAUUCCCAAAUUUCACUUUUUUGAGAACCAAAAAAAACUCAAUUUUACAAGAAUGAAUUCUAAACAUUUCAAUAUUUAUAAAGAUAAAAAAAUAUAUUUUAGCAUAUAAUUUAAGUUUUAAAAAAUUCUCAAAUUCGUCUUAGAUCCAGACCAAAAAAUAACAUAUUUAAAUUUUAUAAGGAUGAAAAAUAUAUCAUAAAAAUUACACGGAUUUCAAAUUUUCUAAUAUGUAUAAGAACGAAAAAUAUAUUUUAAUAUAUUUUUAUUAAUAUAAUAAUUUUAUUUUAUCAUUAUACUAUAAAGAUACAAUCAAAUUUGUUUAUUUAAACGUAUAUUAUCCAUUAAUACCAUGCCAUUUAUAAUUAUAUUUGUAUACUUAAAUUUUAAAUUUAUUAAUGAUUUUAAUUAUGGUGGAUUAAGACAAAACAUCAAAAAAUAAUUAAAAAAAUGUAAAACAAAAUAAAUACAACAUCCAAAACAAAUUUUCCAAAAAAAAAACAUAUAAAACGGAUUAAAAUCUAAAUAAUAUUAAUGAAUAAAAUAUAAUAUUUUACAGAUUCAUAUUACACACCACGUAAAACAUAAUAAAUUUUUUAAAAGAAUAAUCUUAUCUAAUAGACCCAAUAAUUUUUUAAAACAUGAAUAAAUAAAAGAAAAAGAACUAAUGUGUUAUUAACUACUGAUUGAUUGUAAUAUGAACUCAUUGAUCUUUUGCCAUUUGUGUGUUUAAUCAUGUGAUAAAAUAACAAAAAAAGAAUUAAUGAAAAAACUCAAAUGAAUGUAAAAAAAAAAAAACUUUGAACUUUUCUCCCUGCAAGUACGACACCGAAAACUUUGAAUUUUUCUCCCUAUUUGAACGCCUUUAUCACCUCCUCUUCCAUUUCUGUCUCUUGUAAUGAAUAAUUCACACCAAAACUCAAUGAACAUACCAUUGUUAAGUAUGAUCCUAUAAAAAACCAACAACAAACUCAAUUACCGAUAAAAGCACAUGUUUAAAUAGAAUAAGAAUAAUAUAAUAUUAGAAAUUAUUAUUCUCUAUUCAACUUCUAAAACGUGCAUAUUAGAAUAUAGAAAAUUACCUAAUUAUAUGAAUUAAGAGUGUAUUAAAUGUAUUUUAUGAAUUAAAACUGUUAAUUUUUAUUAUUGAUUAAAACUGCUAAUUAAUAUAUCAUUAAUGUAAAUAACUAAUUUCUCUAUUAAUGUGAAAUUACUCUUCUUUAAAAUAAAAAUAUUUUAUUUACUUUUUUUCCCAUACAAUUAUUAAUUUAACUCCCAUUUAUGAGACAAAAUAAUAUUUACAAAAAUGUCCCCAACUCACUUUCUUUUAUAUAUUAUAUAUAUAAAGAUAUGUAAAAAAAAUCUCAUCCUUCUCCUUUUAUAUAUAUAGAUGCUAACUUCUCAUUUUCAGACACAAUUUUUGAAUAUACUUUUUUAUCUAUUAAAGUCUAUUAAAAUAGUAUAUUUUUAUGAAUCUUAUUUUUUAUUUAACUUUUUUUUUUAAUUUUAUAAAUUUAAAUAAAUUUUUACACGUUAGAAAAAAUGUGUAAUGUUUUCAUAUACUAGUAAUCACAACGGAAAAUAACGCUUCAUUUCAUCAACGGAUAAAAGUUUUGUAGAAAUUGAUUUCCUUUGUAUACACUUAUGGUUUAAUUAUAUUUUUGGUUUUGAAAAUUAAGGGUGCAUUUAAUUUUAGUCUCUUAAAUUUAAAAACAAAUAUUUUGGUCUUUUAAAUUUAAAAAGUUACAAUUUUCAUCCCUCAAAGUUUAUUUUGGGUUUUGUUAUGUCCUAGUGUUAGGUAACUUGUUGUGAGCGAGAGGAUGAAGAUGAACGCAUUGGAUUCGAGGUCAAGGCACCUCCUGAAAUAAACUAAGUUCUACGCAAAUGCUUCUCUGAUUUUAUUCAUGUAUUCGAUAUCCUAUUUAUACACUGCCUUUUGUAACAGAUUAUAACAUAUCAGUAACAAACUUUGUAGGCCAAAAUCACACCAAGUCCUUCAAAUAGGUAGGGCGCGCAGUGUUUCUCUUGGGCCUUCCAGCAUGGGCUUCAGGUAAUGUGUUGAUCUCUUCUACGUUCCUGUUGCUGUUGCUGUUGCUGUUGCUGUUGCUAUCAUAACUCAGGUUUAAGAGGGAAGGUGUGUACCUGCAAAAGGCAUUCUAGUUUUCAACCCUGAAGUUGUAAGGUUUGCACUGGUAUAGUGCAGGCAUCAAAGAUGCAUAGAUGAGUGGUUAAAAGUUAAAACCCUUUAUUUGGCAAUGAGUGGUUGAUCCACUGUUUUACAGUUGUACACGUACUUGCUUUUUCUGUAUUUUUUAGCAAUUUAUUCCAACAUUAGCACUUAAAAUACCCUAGUUGUAACUUGUAAGCCUUUUCAUCUAUAGAUUGGUUUAAUGAUGUGAAACAGAGCUAUAAAGUUGAAGGAUGUCAACUUACAUAUAAAGAGCUAAGCGACUUCAUUUAUAAGACUGUCCUGCUGAGAAAGUUGACUUACUUGCACCGGAGUGAAGGAGACCAGGUGGCUUCUACUAGUAUUGGAAAAACAGAAACUCUUCUUGUUCGGAAAUUACCAAUUGCAGAUCCAAAGUAAUCAUACUCAUUGUGCAACAGUUCUUUGGAUUGUAGAAUUGUUAACUGCUAUUGUGAGUUGGCUGAUAUGGUCCAUUUUAUGCUUAGGAUGUGUCAUUCUCCUGAAAUGCAAUAUUUAUUCCUUGCUUUUCAUAUGAAAAAUCUUUAAACAGAUGCUUUUCUCAUCUUGAUUUCAUAUAUUACAUAAUAAUUGAAUCUAGAGUUUAUAACUGUUGAACUCAGAAAAUAAACACAUUGAAUUCUGAAUAAAUCAUAGAAUCUAUCUGUUUUUUUGGCCAAAUUUAAGUGCAAACAUCAACAAACACAAGGUUUCCCCCUAACAAGUAACAAGGAGUUUUCUCCUUCAAAACACCGUAAAUAACAAUUUGACACCUUAACCGCCACAUCCUAAAACAAAACUGCCAAUACAUAAUUGAAACCAACAUAACUGCCUAAUAACUGUCCUAAUGCAGAAUUAACACAAACACAGCUACCUAAUAACUGGCUGUCAAUUUUUUAUUGUAACAAAAGGAUUGAUUUGUGUUAGCAAGUUAGUAUAUUGAUAUCACAUAUAGAUUUGACUGUUUGUAAGUUACUAAAAGUCUCUCAUUUUGAGAAACUCCUACCAUGUCUUAGUUUGAGCACUAGUUUACUAUGAUUUAUCAGUUCUGAAGUUAAAAUUUAAAACAUAAGGUGGUUCUUGCCUAUGAUGAUUUAUAUUUUAAUCGUUGUAAAGCUCCAUUUGAGGCUUUUGGUCUUGCAGAUGUUACUUUUUUAAAAAAUAUAUAUGGUAGGUGGCACCAACAAUGUGAUAAACUUCAUGCUUAUGCCUGUGUUAUUUGUAGAUUUUUUUAAAAUAGGUUUUCUUUUUACAUUUUGUAAUCUGGUCGGUGAUAUGGUCUAUGGAUGGUAUAAUGAGUUCUGAUAAUCCUCCCCUUCCUCUCCCAAAAAAUGUUGUUGACUGACUAUCAGUUUGCAAAUUUAGAAAUCAUUGCUCACUUCUGUUUUUUAUUUUUAUUUUUAGACUUCCACUAAAAUUAGAGAGAUUUUGACUGACGAUUGAAUUUUUCAAAUGGUGUUCAUCAAUCAAUGCAAUCUCAAAUGCUGUGCAUGUUUCUUUGACAGGCAUGUUUUUGUAGGAGAUUUAGUGGUCUUGAAAAACCCUCUGAAGGCAGAUAACUAUCUUGUCAGGCAAUUAACUGUAUUGAAGGUUAUGAAAUGGUAUCAACUGAUGAAAAGGAUGAACCCUUUUUUUCUUGAGAAGGAUCAGUGUUGGGUAGAUGCUGAAAAUAAAAGUUUAAAACCCAAGGUAAGACUGCUCUAUUUUCCUGGUCUCUCUAUAUAUGGAGCAUAUCAAUUGGCAUUAGCAUUUUAUUGCAAGAGAGAAGCUAAUGCUGAUUAUUUAAGAAGUUUUAUAUAGUAAAAUAUCAUGACACCAAGCAAUAAGUUACCAUUGACGUACAAGUAUACAAGGUUACUUGUUGGAAAAUAAAACAACAGCUUUCUGUUUUUAAAAUAAUUAAAAUUAGGCAUGAUUUGGUAAUUUAAUGAUAUUGAAAACCUCUGGAAUUCCAAAUACUAAUGUUUUUCUUUCUCUCUUUUUAGUUUUCUUCCUUUGUCUCUUUAAUUAUAUUUUUUUUCUCUACUAAUAAGGAUAUUAAAUCUGUGUUACUUCUUUACCAAAAACUCUGUUAAACUCAUGGGGUUUUGUGCAUGUGUCGCUCUUACAUGAUUUAUAAAAGGACAACAUGGUGUCAUUUGAUCUAUGUAGCCAAUCCCCACCUAAUGAAAGAAACUUUUGCUGCUGUUGUUAUUUUGUUUCCUCAACAUCUAGCUGCUUUGAAAUUGUGUAGUAUCUGUAAGCUCUAAAGUCUAAGGUGAAUGUCUCCAUAAAGACUAGUCGAUUAUUUGGUCCAGUUAAUAUGACAGACAUUGUAGGCAGAGUCAUAUAUCGCCUGCGAACCUGUGUAGAGACCAUCACUGUGUACGGAACAGGUGAACUAAAUUAGUAAAUUUCUAUCUUAUUUCUUAUGUAAAAUGGUAUGUGGAAGGUUUUUUUUUUUCUUUAAAAAAAAUAUUGAUAUAAUUUACUCCUUUGCCAGUCAUUCCAGCAUGCUAAAGGAUUGGCCCGUGUUGGCAGUGGAACUUGAUGUUGAGGAGAUGUCAAAGAAUCACAAGGCCUAGGCCUGUUUGGUUUACAUUCCUGUCAACCCAAAUGGGAAAACGUGCUUCCCAUGAAUGCACUUUUCUAUCAAGUGAAUCACAACAUAUACUUAUGUCAAAACAAGCGAAUCUCCUGAUCAUCAUUAACUAGAUAGUUUUGUACGUAUCCCCUGUUUGAGGCAGAGCAAUAAUAGGAUGUUACUUUUUUGCAAGAGAAUGUGAUGGUGGUGUUAUCAGUUGUGUGAUUUCUUUAAUUUAUACAUAUUAGAUGUUUGACUUUUUCUUUAAAGCCCAAGGAUAAAUUGCUUGUUUGAUGUAUAAAUAGUAAUAGUAUAUUUUUCUAUAAUAUAUAUCGUUUUGUUAAGCUUAAUAUUUUAUCAAUAUCAAAUAAAAAAAAUUGUACUUCAUAUCUUAAAAGUAAAAAAGCAUGCGAUUCUUUACUUUUUUAAAUUUUGUAGUGUAUGCUUGGGAGAAUUUAUUUUCAACAAAUAAUGGCUUAUAUUUUGGUUUUUUUUAUUAUAAUAAGUUAUAUUAAACUUGGGAGUAUGAGAUAAAGUUGUGUAUGUAUAAAAAGUUGUCUUUGAAUAAGCGUUACUUUUAGUUGAACGUCAAUCUAGUAUAGGAUUCAGUUGAACGUGCAUUAGAAAGUGUCUUAAGUAAAACAAACACACUAGUGUGUGCUUAGAUUGUUGUGUGAGAGGUACCAAAUGUUCAUUUGUGCAUUUCAAUGCACAAAAGACAAGUAACAACUAACAAUACUAUUAGAUUAAAUGUGAGUUAUAUUCAACUGAAUGGUUAUUCAAACACACCUCAAGCGUCUGUUUGGAAUUAGAGACGAAUGGAUGUUUGCCAAAGGAGUCAUUUGUAUCUUUCUUCCAGCAGGUUUGGAGGUGUGUGAAUGGUUUUUAAAACAUGUUUUUAAAUCAUUUAUUGUUGACUAACUAAAAGAUAUUUCUGACUCAACCACUUAGGGAUUAUAGAUAUUUCAUUUGGUUUAAUUUUUUUUAGACUUAAUUGUCCUUAAAAUGGAAAAUUGAGUUAAUUAGAAUGUUUAAAAACUAUAAACUUUUAAAAAUGUAAUUUUUAAAAGAAUAUAUUUUAAAAAAAUGUUUUUGGAAAAGCCAGUUUCAAGAUUUUUUUUAUACUUUUAUUUCUCCCCUUAUUCGAAAACAUAAAAUCUAAAAGAAAAAUGACUGUAAUUUAACUACUUGAAAGGAUUAAAAUGAAUGUUCCACACUUUCACUCGUUUUUUUAGGCUUAAUGAUAAUAACAAAGAAAAAUAAAAGGUUCCUGCCCGAGCGAGAAUUUCAGUUGGUCCCUGAUGAAAAUAAUGAUUCCCGAGAAUGUCCCUUAUAUAUGACUAUGGGACACGACACGGGUAACUAGCAACAAGAAAAAACCUGCGACUGCUAGUGAGUGCAAAUUGAAGCAAAGGUUGCUGCAACCGCCGUUGAGUGAGGGCGGUUGGGUUACGAUGUUGCAAGCAAUGCAUCUGAUGAUGGCCAACACUUACAACGUUGCCGGUGAGCGUCUUUCUCUGUCACCUUCAUCCUUUGAACCAUACCAUAACCCUUCUUCACUCUCUUCUUUCAUUUUCCUCCACUCUAGCCUUUAGGUUUUUUUUUUUUCCUUAUGUUUCUUUUCAGUUUGCCUCCUAUGAUAGCUAGCUUUUGAGACAUGGAUCGUUUUCAGCUUCUUUUUCCGUCAUGAUUGAAAAAAAAUCAAACUGCUGUUCUGUAAAUAACCACUCUGCAAUUAAAUUGUGCCAUUUUACUGAAGCACUAGUAAUAUAUAUCCUGGAUCAUACUCUCUAUCCGCUACUGAGAUAAACUUGAAAUCAUGAUCAUUUGAAUUCCUAAAACAAUUGUGAUGUAUGUAUCAUUGCUCAAUUCAGAGAUUGAUUACUUAGUGCCUUAUCCUAGGUUUCUAUGAUGGAUUGUGUUGCUUUCUGUCAUACAUAAAUAAGGACAAAACUUAGAUGCAGUUCUACAAGUGUUUUUUGUUGAUGUUGUCCAAUUAGAAUUGGAGUUUCACUUCAGUAAUUCGGGUAUAAAAAGGUUUUCAAUAAAUGUCAAAUAGAUUACCAAGGUGGAACUCCAAUCCUGAUUGAAGAACAACAGCAAAAGUACUCAUGGAAUUGCAUCUAAGUUUUGUCCAAUAAAUAUGGCUAUAUGUUUAUUAUAUUUUUUCUGUUCAUUUUAUUUUACUUCUCUCUUUAUGGUUUUUGAAGUGGUUUUGGUCAUACCGUGGGAUGUGGAGUGGCAGAAGGUAGGUUUCUUCCAUGUUUGGGUGUUUCUGGAAGAACAGCUUCUGUGUUUUCUUGCUCCUCUCAGGGUUACCACAGAAUUCAUUCACAUGUCACAAUUAGAGGGCUAAAGUGUUCUUCUAGGGGUGCAUGUGCAUCUUUUGUGUGUGAAGCGAGGAGGAACCCUGAAUCUUUCUCUAGGCAAAACAAGCAUGGAUUUUCCAGAAGCAGGAAGUGGCUCAAUGUAGACAGAGACAGCUUUGAGAACAUUGAAAAAGACAUGUUAUCAUUGAAAAAUGGUUCAUUGGUAUCUCAUUCUAGCACACUAAAAAACCAUGCCAAUGCCAAUGCUGCCCCUAGGCCUAAAGAGAAGGAGAUUAUUACACUGUUUAAGAAGGUUCAGGCUCGGCUAAGAGAGAGAGCUACUACUAUUAAGGAAAUAAAGAAAGUUGAAGCAUCCCAAGCACAGUCUAAAUAGAAUGGUUCUGUUAAUUCUCUCCUCAAGCUACUGAGGAAACACUCAGUUGAGCAAGUAAAGAGAAGUAGUGGUGUUAACAGAGGGGAAAACGAUAGUUUGGACUGGUUGCAAGAUUGUGGUCAAGACAAUGAAAGUCAAAGCACAAAAUUUCCUGAUUUAAAUGGUACUCCUAAUAAUGAGUCUCAAGAAACUAACAUUUCAUUAGUUAUCAGGCCUCCAUCUAAUUUCCAACGACGGUCUUCUUUUUUUCGGUUAAAGUAUCAACCUGUCUCUAACGACGAUAAGGAUGUGAAUGCAGUCCCCUGAGUAAUGUGGUUACAGAGAAAGAUCAGGAUCAAAUCGGCAUCAAGCUUGAUCCUGAGCCAGAGCAUGACUCUGAACUGGAACUUGAUCCAAAGGAUAAGCCCUUGUUCCCCGAAGUGGGGAUUGCGAUUUCACAUGAUGAUGAUUAUCUUGAUUCUGAACAAAUAUAUAAUGAUGAACAUGGGGAGGACCAACAAGUGGAACAACAUGAGGAUUUGAGUACAAUGAAGCUGUCUGAACUAAUGGCACUUGCGAAGUCUCGUGGCCUCAAAGGGUUUUCAAUAAUGAAGAAGAGUGAGCUCAUGGAGUUGCUAACUGGAAGCUGAUUUGGACCAUAAGUUAGAGAAGCAAAAUCAAGGAACAACAGAUUUUACCAAUAUCUGUUUUUUACCUGUGAAUUUAUCUGGUUUAUUUUUUCAUCGUUUUUAAUUUAAUUCCUUCAAAUACUUGAGGGUUUGUGGAUCAUUAAAUAGAAUAACCAUGCUAUUAUUCAGGCCUCGGAGGAUUUUGAAUUUGUAACUGUAUUCCCACGAUGAGAUUUUUGAAUUUUUUUUUACUGAUUAAAAGUACACCAUUUCAGUAUGAUAAUGCUUCGGGACUAUUAAUCAUUGUUAACCGUAUUGUAUAGCUAUAAUCCUUAUCAGGCCAUUGUUAACCAUUUUGUUUACAUAUCCAGCAAAAAUAAAUAAAUAAAUAAAUGUAGUAAUACUUUUUUUUUUAUCAAUUUUUAUUUUUUGAAAAUAAUUAUAUUCCUUAAACAAAAACGAACAUUGGAUCUGAAAGCUAUAUAGCUUAGCAAAACAGGACCGAACGGACUACAUGGGUAGCAAAAUAUUUAUGACAAAAGGGAUCUAUAUAUGCUAUUCAUAAUCCCUUUUUGCUCUUCACACUCUCCAUUUUCUAUUUUUUGUUUUUUGAUAUUCCUAAAAUAUCACUAUUCCCUCUCACUUUCCUACCCUCACUUUUCAUAUAUAUUACAGAAAUUAGUCUCUCUAAUAUAGUUAUGUUUUAAUAAAUUAUUAUAUUACGAAAAUUAAUUUCCAUAAAAUGUUUUUUGUCAAUUUUUUUAACAGAAAAAUAGGUAGGCAACACAAAAAGCAAAAAAGUGGGGUGUAAAUGACACAAACCCAACAAACAAGGCCGAAACUAUUUCUGAGUAGUUUAUUUUAACAAAGCUCUCUUUUCCCCUGCAUCCCAAAAAUCUCAACCUACAUCCCUUUUCACCCCCUCAUAGUGGAAAGAUUAAUUGGAAUGAAGGUUUUACAUUUCAAAUUACCUAAAAGAUUGUUAGGGUGAAAGAAAAAUAAAUUAGAAAAGCUCACUUACAAAAAAGAUGAUUAAUUAAAAUUAGGAGCUCAUAGUUUUAACUUCCCACUUUGUUUUCCUUCGUUUAAAAAAAGUUGUCCUUCAUCGCCAAAAAAAAAAGAUGUUUUCCUUCUUUUAGGAGACAACAUCACGUUUGGCUUGCCUGCAUAGUGCUUAUGCUUGCUUCCAAUAUAAACAUUUUCCUUAUCACCACUUAAUAUAGCAGUCACCAAGUGCCGCUAAAUAGAAAAGGGAAUAGAAUAUUCACAAUUCACAUGCAAGGGGUCCCCAAUUUGAAAGUUUAGCCGAAGAAGCUUGUGAGUUGGUGGCCGCUGAUUCAGUAACUUGGACAUUAAUUUCUUUAGUUUUUAAUGUGUGUUGUUUUAUCAAAUUUAAUCACUCACAUGGGGGAAGGAAGAGAUGGGGAAACAAAAUCCCUCUAUUAUGCAAACCAUGACGUAUACGGCAAACAAGAUAAGCAAUAGUUAAUAUGUAAUCCAAUCUAAGGCGAGCAAGGAAGAUCUCAUUUGUUUAGCUUGAUACCGAUUGACUUUGAGCUUUUUGAGGGAUAAUGAGGGGAUACAAUUUUAACCCAAAAAAGAAGGGUAUAGCAAAAGCAAAAGAAAAUACGUAUCACACAUCUUUAAAAAUCACAUCUCGUAUCUAGAGUAGGUGGUUCAAUCAAAACGUAAUUAUGUAAAAAUCACGAAGAAAAUGUAUUGAUAACUUUGAGUGUUUUUUUCUCUUAGUCAACACUCUUGCUUAUUGAAAAAAAUAAAGGCUUAUAAAUUAUAGGAGGGGUUGAAAUCUCAUGUCGUCUAAUUCUUUUUUUAUUUUUAUCAACAAAUAAAAAAUAUAUAGAUGUAUAGGAUAUAAAGGGUGUCCAAAACCCAAGCGAGAAUGACCAAUAUCUGAAUCACAUAACACUUUAACAUUAUUUAUUGGAUAGCGAGAAUAAUCAAUAUCUGAAUCACAUGAUAUUUCAACAUUGUUUAUUGGAUAAUAAAAUGAUUACCACAUCAGUUUAGUAUAAUGAUACAGUUAAAAUAUUUUUUUUAUUGGUAAAUAUUAAUUUUUAUUAUAAUACUAAUAGAAGAUUUAAACUUAUAACUUCUCUUUAUUCUUCUUGCUUCAACCCUUAAACCUUUCUUCAUAAUCAUCAAAUCAAUCUUAUAACUUUUAUAUGACUAAAAUAAAGUAUAACUGAAGCGCAAACCUUACCUUAUAAGCCAAUUUUAUAAGGUUUUACAAUCAUAACUCAUAAUUCUAAUAUAGUAUUAGAGUCUAUUCUAAUGAGUAUCAUUAGACAUUCUAUGUUACUUGCUAUCGAACUACUAUUAGACCUGUAUAAGUCUAGUUUAACAAAUUUUAUGAUUGACAUGUCUAAUUCUCGAUAAGAGAAAUUGUGUUGGAAAUCAUACAUCAAUAAUGAUGAGACAAAAAAUAAUAUAUAUACAUGAGUCAGAUGUCUAGUUACUCAUUAAAUAAUUAGUGGAUUAAGUGUUCAUUUAACUAUGAGUUAUAUGUUUUUAAAAUUAAAAAAUUUAAAAAUAGUUUGUGUGUGCUAAGGAAAAUAAUUUUAUCAUUAAUAAUAAUUCUAUUCAAUUGAAAGAGUGUUUAUCGUGAAAAAUAUAUGUAUUCUUAAAAAAAAAAUGUAAGAAUGAUAUAAAAUCCAAUAUAUAAAGUACAUUAUAAUUCUUCCAAGAGUAUGGACUUUGGUGUGACUUUAUGAGGAUGAUAUAACAAAAUAACAAAUAGAUAAAGCUGCUGUACAUCAAUGGUUAUAAUGAAAGGAAUGAUUAUUUACAGCUAUGGGUAAGAUAUACGAAAGAAAAAAGGAAGUCUACGAUUAUUACAGCUAUGACAAUAAAUAAAGCUCGUAAAAACAAAACAAAAGUCCAAGAAUAACCAACGGGUCUAAUUAAGUUGACAUGUAUGACUUUAAUUAAGUUCAUAAACAUUUACUAUGUGCAUAGCGAACAAAGAAAUUGUGUAGCUGAUCACGACGACUGAUACAUAAUACAAUAUUGUUUUGACUUUGGAUAAAAAAAAACAGAUAUGAUACAAGUAGGUUAAUAUCCAAGAAGUGCUACGUACUUUCCAAAUCUUUCUUUGGUAUAGUGUGACAGUGAUGUAAUGAAAAAGGAAGAGAUAAAUAAAAAGAAAAUAAGGUAAAAACGAAAUAGAAGAAAAACAUGAGCGAUAUGUUUAUAACAAUUAGCCCAUUAGUAUAUAUAAAUUGCUGUUAAAAACCCAUUAGUAUAAGUCUUGGAUAAAAAAUCUUAAUUGCAUAGAGCCACUUUGUCCACAAUUUUAAUAAAGUAGUUAUGUAAAUAUCAAACUUUAUUAGCAGUUUUUUCCACGACUUUGACGGUCUUCACAAUUACUACUCAUUGUACUCAAUGUUUCAAAACCACAAUGCUUAUGGUUGGCACUUCCUAAGAAUUUAAUGAGUGAUAGAAACCUUGACUUGGAGUUGGAGCUGGCUAAGCACUGCCUAAGAAUUUAACGUUCUCUAACAGAAUUGAUAUGAAUCAAAUGCAACACAAAAGUUCUCAAGACACAAUAUGAGAAUCAUUAGAAGAUAUAAGGUUAAUUUUGUGGUUAAAAAAAGUAAAAAAAAAAAGAGAAAAAAAUGUUGUAAAUUCAAAUGUCGUAACUAAUAUUUUUAACAAAAUUAAUAAAUUAAUAUUUAUGGAUAAAAAAAUAUUAUGAGUUAUUUUGCCUUAAUUCAAAGCAUAGUGGUUAAAUAAAUCGGAGCGGAACAUAGUCAAGAAAGUUGUUUACGUGGGCCUGUCAAUCUGAUUCAUCUAAUUCAAAGCAAAAGAAAUGGCAUCUUAUUAACAUUGGCAAAUCUUGAAAAUGAUCAAUUGAAGGUUACUGACAGUACUACAAUGACACCCCAUUUGUGAUUUGUGGAGAAAAAGAAAAAUUCAUGUCAUGGAAUGGUGUUGGUGUUGGCUCACAUGCUUACCACAAAUGUCACAGGCACAGCUGAAUGUUUAAAUGUGCUCACGGAGGGAGGGUCAGAUCUUCUAUUGCUAUUGGCUUGGAUCCAAAGGACGAUUUGGUUAUUGGUACAAUUCAAUAUAGCCAGCAAAGAUUGCCCCAAUGCAAGUCCCCAACUAAGUAAGCUAGCAUUGCCACUCAGCUCAAUGGUACUAUUGAUGUUCCCUAACUGCACUAUUGCAUCAAAUGGAAGAGUGUAGACCGGGUAGUAGCCUAGUCCUUUUUUGCUAAUGAAUUCUGAGUUUUAAUGGCUUACCUAACCCUUUUUUUCUUUUGGUAGACCUAGCUAGCCCUUCUAUCCAUAAGGACUUGGCUGAAUGGCUGGUGAUUUUAGGUAGGUCACGCUAGUCACAUGGUUCAAGUGAUGCAAUGAAAAAUGGAAAAAGAUAAAAAUGAGAUGAAUGAUAAUAAAAUAAAGGUUCAAAUAUAUUUUUCGUUUUUAUAAAAUUAUAUAUUUUUAUAAAAUUAUAAGUGUUAUUUUUUUUUUCUGGAUUAAAGUUAGUAUCCAAAUCCAUAAUGAUGAUUUAUACAUAUAAUCAAUGUAAAUGUAAUAUUUUCUAUAUCAAUUAUGUAUGUAAUCAAUCUAAAUAAACAUUUUUUAUAUCACUUAUAUAUAUAACUAAUGUUAAAAAAUUAUACAUAUAAAUUUAGAUAUAUACGAGGAUAAAAAUUAUCUUUUAGUCUAAAAUAAAUUACGAAUUUAAUUUCUUUAGUAUUAUUAUUUAUCUUUAAGUAUUCCUUAAAAGUAAUGAAAUAAUGCAAGUAAUUGUUAAAAUAUUAAAUAUCUAUUAUUUCAUUCCUUAAGUUGAUAUAUUUUAUUAAAGAUCGUGAACUAAUUCGAAAGAUUUUUCAAUACUUAAAAAAUUACUUAUGAUGAUUUUAAAUACCUAAAGGAUAAUGUAAUUUCUUAGGGACUGCUACCAUAAUCUAGAUACAUAUGAUAUUAUCGUCUUUACUUUUGUAAUUUUUUAAUUCAGAAACUUUUAUUUUAAGAGAAGGUAGUAUUUUGUGGGAGAGAUUAUAGUUUAUUCAAAAGAAUACGAAAUGUAUGUUUUUAAGCACUUAAUAGAUGAAUAAUACUUUAGAUAGAUCUGCCUAUAAAUGCACUAUUCUUGACUUAUUUUAUUUUAUUUUUGGGUGAAGUGCGGAGUGAUAUUCUCUAAUGAUGAAUGGCCUAUAUUACAAAUUAUUUUAUAUGUUGUUUGAAUAUUGGUUUUACAAUAUUUUUCACUCUUUGGUAAGAUAAUAAAUAUCCCUUCCUUCAUAGUGUUGAACUUGUUUCUCCUUACACAAAAAUGACACUAUUGGUUUUACAAUAUUUUUAAUACGACUUUAAAGGAAUUAUUAUGAAAUUAAUAAAUAUAUCAUUUAUGGCAGUUUUUUUUAACAUGUUUAGACAAUUUUUUUAAAUUUUAAUUGUUUCUCUUUCAUAACCAGCUAGUUCCCCUCUUUUUGUCACAGGAAUUGAAACUCAAAUUUAUAAAAAGAAAAUAAUUAAAAUAUCUAUCAAUUAUUAAGAGAAUGACUAUCCAAAAAAUAAUGGCAGUCAAACUAAUUUUUUAUAAAAAAAUUUAUAACUACCUUAAUGACGGGAAAUUAAGACAAGGGCUUAUCUUAAUCAUUCAUGAAGGAAAUUUUCAAAUCAACAAUAAAUUAAUUUGCCCAAACUUUUGUCUCAGUUUAGUUAUGCAAUAUUCAUUUUUAAUUUAAAUAUACUAGUAAUGUAUUUUUUUAUACUAUCAUUAUUUAAAUAUUAAUAUGUAUGAUACAUUUAUUAUUAUUUUUUUCUAUAAUUUAUAAUUUAAAUAUACUAGUAAUGUAAUUUAAACAUUUUUUUAUUGAUUAUCGAUAUAAAGUUUUUUAUACUAAAUAAAAACUAAACUCUAUAAAAAUAAUAUACCGAAAAAACUCUAUAAAUAUAUUACAAAAAUUUUAAAUUUUUUCACAUUAUUUUUUUUAAAAUUUUAAAAAAUUGCUUUUUGAAAGCAAUAGAAUAAGACCUUAAUUCGAUUUGUGUGCUAAGAUUGUUAAGGAUCCACCACCUUAACUAUUUUAUGGUUAUUUUAGGUUGUUCUUUACUUAACUUAAUUUGAUGAAAAAUUUCCCUUUAGUUGUUGGACCCUCUGCGUCAGGCUUUCCGGGUAGCAUUGUUGGGAAACAGAGCUAUGCCAUGAACGAAGGAGAAGAACCCCUUUCACUCACCAUCAUCAUCAUGCUAAUUCACAUAUCAUUUCACUUCUUUUAGACAAUCUCGUGCUUUGAAAUUCAUCACCAUUUCUUUCACCACUCUUCCACUUUCAUAACUAUGCAUAUAGGUAUGUCUGCGAAUGCAAUCAUCCAAACCAAACCUGCUACUUUUCCUCACAAAAUGCCUUCUUUUUUAGUUUUCUUAUAAUUUUCCAUGGCUUUCUCAGGUGCCCUUUUGUAGCUUUUGAUCCAUUGGAGGAUCGUCUAUUGUUUCUACUAUUUUGGGUGGUUUCUGGAUUUUGUGCGGUGUUAUACAUUUUAGAAAUUUCUUAAUAAUUGGGUACCCUUUGCUAUGUUUUUGUUGUCGAGGCUCUAUGUAGAGUUGUUUUUAGAUUGGUCAUAGAAAGAUGUGUUAUUUCUAUCUGUGUUCAUUGGAAAAACUUGGGAGAAGUUGUCAAAGAGAGAGUAAAUUGAAGUACUUUACCAAUAUAUGGUUCUGGCAGAUGAAUAAUUCUGUCUGAAAGUUGAAUUAGUAUCAUUUGAGUUGACGAGUGAGGUUACUGAAACCUCUGAAAACCGAAUUUUCUUUUUCCUUCCAUGGACUUUAACGGUUUGUCUUGCAUGCAUCAUUUUCAUUCAGCAAUUGCAUUUGGUCUCUUUUAGUGAAUCAUUGAGUUCCUCUUUGUAAUUUUGUAUAUUAGACCUGCUAUACUUGCAAGUGAAAUCCAUUUGCCUUUUCAUGCAAUGGUGCAAAAUUAUUUUGUGUUAUCUACUUUAGCACGGUUCAAGUGCUUAUGUGUUAGUCUUUAGAUGCUGAUCUGCGUUUUUGCGUGAACACAAACAUGUGGUACUGUUUUUUAGAAUAUUUUUCAACGUUGGACUCUAGUUUAGUCACUAAUUGUUGUUGGACAAUCAGAAAACUAGACAUUUGGAGCUGGAAAUGAAUGAAAAAUAAGUCAAUUGCAAAAAACUACCAUGUGCUUUGAAACUAAUCAAUUUGAUUCCUUGAACUUAGCAAAUCGUGCAUAAUGGCUCCUUUCAAGGGUUUCCUACACAUGCUCAAACGGUUAUGUGUUUGGUAAGUUUAGGGAGCCAUGUUACUGAGUUUUGAACCACAUGAAAUUUUGCUGCAAUUGUCCUGUAACUAGAGGGGGUUUAUAUUCAUUUUAGCGAAAUAUUAACUUAAUUCCCUAGUGCUUGUUACAAAUGUUCUCUUUUAAUUUAUUUUUUGUUGUUUUUGUAACACUGGUUUGCUAUUAUUUUGGUCUAACUGAAGCAGGUCAAAUAAAUACAUCUUCAGUGAAAUGUCUUGUCAACAGCAUUUCGCGAUUCAUACAUCUAGUUUCUUGCCAAGCAGUGAAACCUAUGCCCCUUCAAAAGAACUGUAAUAAUAUGGUUUGUGUGUUGAAGCAUUUGAAACCAGUGCUCGAUGAUAUUGUGGAUUUCAAAAUCCCUUUCGAUGAAAAUCUGCAUAGAGAAUGUGAAGAAUUGGAUAUGCGGGUUAAUGAAGCUAGGGAGUUCAUUGAAAAAUGGGGCCCGAAGAUGAGCAGGAUUCACAGUGUAAUUACUUACAUUCUUAAUUUCUUGUACUUGAACAAAUAUCAUUAUUCGACAACUGUUAUUGAACUUGUUUAAGAUCCUAAACCUCUAUGUUGGCAUUUGAACAAGGUCAAAAGAAACAAUGCACCACCAAUACCUCCCCCAUCUGUCUUUCUUCUCUGGAAGAGAUUGAUCACAACCUCUUAACUAUUUUGUUGGGAAUAUUCUAUUUUCAGGUUCUUCAAAGUGGGGAAUUGUUGAUCAAGUUACAGAACUCUUCAUAUAAGAUUUGUCACAUGAUAGUUAAAUCACUAAAGGGACCUGCAUCUGUUUUGGUUUCGGGUAAUCUUCAGGUAGGUCCAACGUUAAAAGUAAAUUUUUUCCUUAUCAUUAUUCAUUUGUUCUUCACUUCUCCUAUCCCACUCCCCUGUAAAAGUAAAAGGACAGGGUAAAGAAAGUCAAACUACUUCAUUUGGCAGUAAUAGUUAUUGUCUGUUUUGUGGGUGCCUUGCGGCUCAAUAGAAUUAUGGCACUAAUUGCUAGCUACUUUUCAGCAAUAUAUGCAGGAACUUCAGUGUCUUAAGAAGGAACCUGCAAUGAUCUAUAUAGAAGACGCAUUGAGAAAUCAAAGGGAUAAUAUCGAACCUUGCUAUGAUUCUCUAAAGGAAAUUAUACGGUUACUCAUGAUAUCAAACCAGGAGCUACUGAUAGAAAGUAUUGCUGUGGAAAAGGAAAGGUCAAAUGCUGAAGUCAAUAAAACAAAAGGGGACUUGGAUGAAAUUAACCAAAUUGUGAAUCUUGUGUGCAGUUUACGUGAUUAUGUGAUGAAAUUUGAGCGCCCUGAAGUCAAAAGUGGUGUUUCAAUUCCCCCCUAUUUUCGAUGUCCUUUAUCAUUAGAACUCAUGUCAGAUGCUGUUAUUGUGGCUUCAGGUCAGACAUAUGAAAGGCAAUCCAUUCAAAAGUGGCUUGAUCAUGGGCUAACUGUUUGUCCCAACACUCGCCAGAUACUUGUCCAUACAAAUCUCAUUCCCAAUUAUACUGUUAAAGCUAUGAUAGCAAAUUGGUGUGAGGAAAAUAAUGUCAAACUUCCCAGUAACUCUAAGCAAAGUAAUUCCUCUCAUAUUUCAUCCCCCUCAGAUCAUUUAUUACAUCAAGAUUUAGAUCGUCUGUGUAGCUUUGAGUCUUCAGCUAGUAGCGAUUCCAAUUCAAAUCAAAUUGCAAAUGCAUUUGAGAAACCAAAGGAUGAUAACUCUUUCAGAUCAAGCAGGGAAUCUGAUAGAAGCUGGAAUGGAGAGACAGAAAAGUUUGAGCAACAAUCCCCUGCACCUUCAUGUAGUAACAGCAGAAGUGAAUCAUUUUCAAGUUCUAUUUCUAGUACUGAUUAUGUAUUUCCAGUUUUGAAAGAGGUGUCAGGCAUAUCUAAUAAGCAUCAAAAUGUGGAGUUGUCUAGAGAAAUUACUGAUGGGUGUCCUGCUUCUCCUGCAUAUAAAGAAUCAGUGAUUUAUCCUUGGUUAUCUGGAAAGCAAUUUCAUAGCCCUGGAUCAAAAAUUGGAAGGAUGGAGGAUGAAAAUAAGUAUAAUGAGAGUAACAAUAUUAGUAUUACCAGUCAUUCAAAAGUUGCUUCCCAUCCUGUAGGAUCCAAUGAAUUGAUCACCACAUCCCAUGUCAAUGAGUUGAUUGAAGAUCUCCAGAGUCAAUCGAAUGAAACACAAACUGCUGCUGCAGAACAAUUGAGGCUCUGUACCAAGCAUAACAUGGAGAACCGCAUCAGUGUAGGGCGGUGUGGGGCAAUUAUGCCUUUACUCUCACUGCUAUAUUCAGAAAGGAAGAUAAUACAAGAGCAUGCCGUGACAGCUCUACUGAAUUUGUCAAUUAAUGAAGGCAACAAGGCCUUGAUUAUGGAAGCAGGGGCCAUAGAACCACUUAUCCAUGUUUUGAAGACAGGGAAUGAUGGUGCAAAGGAGAAUUCUGCUGCUGCUCUGUUCAGCCUCUCUGUAAUAGAUAACAAUAAGGCAAAAAUUGGCCGUUCUGGUGCAGUCAAAGCUUUGGUGGGUCUUCUAGCCUCAGGAACUCUUAGGGGAAAGAAGGAUUCUGCCACUGCUUUAUUCAACCUAUCAAUAUUCCAUGAGAAUAAAGCUCGUAUAGUUCAAGCUGGAGCCGUGAAGUUUCUGGUUCUGCUAUUGGACCCUACUGAUAAAAUGGUUGACAAGGCUGUUGCUCUUUUGGCAAACCUGUCAACAAUUGCAGAGGGCCGAAUAGAAAUUGCAAGGGAAGGGGGCAUUCCCUCACUAGUUGAAAUUGUUGAAUCAGGUUCUCUGAGGGGAAAGGAAAAUGCUGCUUCCAUCCUCUUGCAACUAUGUCUUCAUAAUCAAAAGUUUUGUACCCUGGUUCUCCAAGAAGGAGCUGUACCUCCCCUAGUUGCAUUAUCUCAGUCUGGUACUCCAAGAGCUAAGGAAAAGGUAUGGAACUAAUCCUCUUGUCUUUGUCAUCUAUUUUGGUGGUCAAAUUUUUAUUUAGUGUGCAUAUACAAUUGUUUUGCUACAUUUUUAUGAGCUGUGUUACUCUUCUCUAGGAAAAUAGUGUUCAAAUCUUGGUGUUCAAUCAUGGUUACAGAAUCAAUUUGUUGAAACAAUGUGCUAAAAAAUCUGGCAUUCUAAUCUAUGUUCUGCAGUGCAUUCUUCCCCCAGCCUUGCCCCCAAAAACAGUGAAGAAGUAAGUUUUGACCCUUUUGUUUGGGAUUGUUGUUGAGAUAUUUUCCCUUUGAUCUGAUAUUUAUCAAGUAGAAAGAUAGGAGAAAGCAUAAUUCAUGCUCAAGAGAAAUAAUAAUUUUCACAAUGGACUUUUUAAGUAACACAAACUUAUGAAAAAGUAUACAAACAUUGAGGGGUGAUUGCAUACAGAGUCUCACAUCAUAAGCAUAAUCUGAAACGUGGAAGAAGUGCUAACAAUAUGUUCGCUUACAUGCAGGCACAACAGCUUCUCAGUCAUUUUCGUAAUCAGCGUGAAGGAGUCAAGGGGAAGGGGAAAUCAUGAAGAUAAGGCAAUUUUGAUCAUUUCAUUGCCCUUUUCACUCUUUCCUCAGUAACUCCCUAAUCUACAUCCACUUGAGGACUUUAGGGCUCCUUUACUCAUUUUUUUAAUUCUUUUUAAAUGUAUCAUUUGUGUUGUAGGCACAAACCUUUUUUUUUGUUUCCUGCAUUAGUAGGGUACCCCCCCACCCCAAUUUGUUUUGUUGGUUUUAAUGGCUUGGUUUCUUUCUAGUAGUGAGAUCUGUUUUGAAGAAAAGGUAAGCUAUUUCUGAAGCUUUAUGCUUUGGCGAGAUGUAAAAACAAAACACUGUUCUGUUGGAGUCAUAAGUCAUAACUGAUGCGGUUGUGAGUCACUGUUGUACAUAUUUGUAAAUAUGGUAUAGAAUCUUGUGAUGUACCAUAAAUUGUUGUACCUCAUUCGGCCAUGUGAGCAUUUUUUUUUUAAUUUAUUCAAUCCUGUUUCAAUCUAUGCUUUCACUUUGACUUGUAUAUAUUAUAAUAUUACUGACCUCACCCGUUCAGAGGUAUACAAAGUUGAUUACAUUCUGAGAGCUUCGAGUUCAAUCCAGGACCUUGUUGGCUAGCAUCAGGUCAUGCAUGUCUUGUUUGUUAAACAAGUAAUGCUCAAAAUUUAAGCUCAUCCAGAAAAUGAUUUAGAAAUGGUGCAUGGUACUAAGGGGUCUAACUCCGUUGAACAUAGUGUGUGAAUUGUUGAAACUCCUUUGAUAUAUACCAAAAAAAAAGACAUGAUGUAUGGCUAUUACUUAUUUUAUAUUGUUACAAUGUGUCUAUUUGAGAAUAAUUUGUCCUUGGGGAUGGUUACAUUAUCAUUAUACGGUUGAUAUUUGUCAAAUACUGGUGAAUAGAAUUUUAUAUGAUCAUGUGGUUCAAGGGUACAUAAUUUCUCCCUAAGACAGGUGCAACUAAUGCACCCAGGUUGGAAUUUGGUGAAAUGGGUCAUGCCCAAAGUUAAACUGAAGCAACCAAUUAUUAUUUCCAAAUUUAUGGGCAUAUUGGUUGUAAAAAACGGUGUGAAAACUAAUUGUAUAUGGGAUUUUUUUUUCCUGCACUUCCAUGCUUGAUUCAUGCACUUCCUAUAUUGCUUUCAGCACAUAGAAAGUGCAGGAAGGAAUUUUCCUAUAUAUCUUUGACAUUAUGUUCUACCUAUGUUUAUUUGGGAUCAAUGAUUGGGUCAUGUUCAUGACCAAAAAUUGAUUGGGCUUGUGAUCUUUUUGUUCUGUAGUGUCUUCCAGCCAUCAAUUUAGCAAAAGGAAACAAACAAAAUUGACACGAUCAAUACUCCGUAGUCAGAAGGGGGUAUGGUUCGUGGCCUACUACCACAUGUGUCUAUCAAUAUUCAAGUACUAACUAGGUAAAAAAGACGUACAAAUUUGUCCCAAAAACUUAAAAGCAAUUCAAUGUGUUCUAUCAAUCCUUCCUUAACGAGGGAGAAAGAAAAAAUGUAAUGGUUAUGUACUCUAAUGCAAAAACUUUACUUAAAUGCCACCGUAAAAAGAAAGUAAAAAAGAGGAAAAGAAAAAGCUAUUAUUUUUUUUUGGAAAAGAAAAAGCUAUUAUACCAUUGUCUAAAUCGCUUUGAUAGGAAAUUAAUGUGUCACUUUGCUUUGACGUGCCCAAAGUUUUCUCAGAUCUUAACCUUAUAACCUUAAUAAUCAUUCAGGAAUAUAUUCCAUUUAUUGUCACUUUGAAAAUCUGCAAGAAACACAUGUUGAAGAAAACCUCAGUUGAAAAACACUACAAACACCAGUAUUAUUCUUUGCUUUUCCUCGAGAAAAGAGAAACAUGAAAAUAACGCGGGCAGAUUUGCCUCAUAUGCACGAUGCCCAGACUUUGAUCGUUCAAUUUGGAUGGGAAUUUACCUAAAUUAUUAUGGGCAAUUUGAAAUUACAAAAUACCCAUUCAGUGCACUUGAACUAACUAUGUUUUGCAAGCAAAGAAGGCAUUUGAUGCCGAAAGAAAAGCAUGAUUUCCCUCUAGUCCAAAGUUAGAAAGACAUUCUCUGAUAUAUAGUUGAAAUAUAUUAAAAAUUAUGAAAGUAGAAAUGAGGUUUUUUAAAUAAGAUGUAAGGCAUUAUUUCACCAACAAAAUCUACCAUAAUUAGUAUAAUUAGGAGAUAGUUAAGUCUUUUUAUUUUUUUUAUGAAUAGAAAUUAAACUCAGAUAUUACAAAUUUAUAAUACUUCACAUACAUUCAAUUAAUUGAGCUAGAUUCUCAUAGUCGAGUCUAUAAAACAUGCUGUAAAAAAUUCAAUACUAAAUAAUUUUUAUAAAAUACUUCAUUAAGAGAGAUAAUACACACUUCAUUUAUCUAUAAAAACUACAAAAACAUCAUUUCAUGUGUUUCAAUAAAUUUUAACUAUUAAUAGCGUGUUUUAAAAAAUAUUAAAAAUUGUGUUACUAAUAUUUUUCUAAAGUUUUACAACUAGUAAUUUUGUUGACAUGCAUAAAUAAAUAAACUUCCACUUAGACUAGUUUUUGGUUAGCAAAUAAAAGUGGAAUCCAUUAUCUUUAUACAUAUCAUUUUCAUCUUUUAUUCUCGCCUACUUUCUUUCUUGAAAAUCUUUUGGUACUUCUUCUUCCAAAACAUUUAUCACAUUUAAAGUUUUAAGGUUUCAAUUUUUUAAAAUUAAGCUGAUAAUUGUUUUUUCUUUCUAACUUUAUCUAGCUUUUACUGAUUAUUUGGUUUAAAAAACAUAAGAAAUAAUUAGGCCAUAUUUAAUAUGAUAUUUUUUAUAUGCAAAUUUUAAAAAGUAAUUAAAAACAUUUUCCUAAACAGAAUAUCACUUAAAAGUUUCCUCAUUACGUUUGAUUAAAAGAAAAUAUUUAUCAGUUUGCUUGGAGAGGAGGAGGAAAGUAAAAGUUAAUUAUUAUUAACAUCUUUUAUGCAUGUCGUCCCUGUAAGGCUUUUUACAUUAUUUUUUUUAUGUAGUCCCUUUUUGUCUUAUGAAAUCAAGAGCAAAUUGGAAGUGAGAAAGUGGUGAUGGAAAGCACUGAUCGGAGUAAUGUUAUUGGUGGAGAUGCUUUGCUUCUUUGGUGAAAUUGAAGGUGCCCUAACUGGGAGACAAAAAUGUGCCUUAGCAUGUUUGUAGUUGAAUGCGUAUUUGUGGGUCGAGACUCCAUUGUCACAAAAGUCGUCAAUACAAAAAAUAAUUAAGAAAGAAAAUGAGGAAACAAUGACAGGGGAAGAGUGUGAUAGCAGGGUACAAGGGGGUCACUUGAAUAAAGAGAUGCGUAAAUGUUGUAAAUUUUAUGUUCAAUUCAUGUAAAAAUAAUAAUAAUAAUAACAAAGUUACCAACGUUUAUCCAACAUUCAAAUGACCCGCUUCACAAAUAAUUUACAGAAAAUAUUAAAUUGUUUAAAAUGUAUCCUUUUAAUGUUUUUUAAAUAUAAAAUUAUUUAUUAAACUGUCAUAACUAAUUUUCAUUUAAUAAUUUUUCAAUUAAUAUUAAUGUUAAUUCAUUUGAUCUUUCUUCACUCUUGAGAGAUGAUUGAUCUUUUGUAAGAUUUUUAUUAUUUCUAACAGUAAGACAACUUUUAUUCUAGUAUUAAAAAAGACAAAUAAAAGGUUGAUAGGUAAUGAAAAUUAAAUGAAGGCCAUUUUAUUAUUAAUUAAUUUAAUUAAAAUUUGGGAAUGUUUACAGACCAAUAAAAAGUGAAACAAGAUUUUUGAAGUUUAUUAUUUAAAGUGCUUGCCUAAAAAAUGUAUAUUUCAAUUAAGAUUAGUACUGUCAAAGAUAUAGAUAAAAUAUAGUUGCUAACUAAUAUAGAAAACGAUAAAAUGUGGCUUAUUUUAAACGAAAAUAAAUACUUUAAGUAUUAAAAGCUAAUUAAAUGUUAUUUAUUUAUUGUUAAAAUAAAACAUAAAUAAAUAACAUGUUCCAGGGUUUUAUUUAUUUGGAGAAAUGGAGGUUAAAAGCAAGUGUUUUAUUUACUUUAGGUCCGUAGGAUAGUCGGAAGAGUUUGGGAGGGUGGAAAAGUUGAAGACAGCUUUUUUUUAAGCAAGCUGAAGACAGGUUAGUCAGCACAAAACACAUAUCUUAAGUCCUUUUUUUCUCUUUUAAAUAUAAUCUCUUUAAUUUUAUGUAAAGAAAAAUUCAUUAACUUUUGGAAGAGGAAAAGAAAAGCAUUCGACUAUUUCUCUCCCCCCCAGGCUCUAGCCUCCAAAACCAACCAAUUUUUUUUUUAUUUUAUAAAAAAUGUGUAUUUUGAUUUUUCCCUUCCUUUUUAUUUCUCUCACCAAAUAAUAGAUUAAUAUCUUCAAUAAGUAAGAUAAAAAGUAUUAAUAAAAUAAGAGAAUAGUAUUGCAAAAAGAACAUAUUUUGAAAUUGAAAAUAUUCAAUACUUUUAAUUGUCAUACAAAAAUAUUAAAUGACAAUCAUUUUAAAUAAUAUUAUAAAUGAAGCAAGGUUUUGAAGAUUCCUUUAUCUUUUUGCAGUGAGGUUGCAAGUUGAAAAGCUCAAGGAUCUGCAGCAACUUGAAGAAUUCAUUAAUUAGACAGCAGUUAAAGUGCUUGUUUCUUCCUUAAAGAUCUCUAUUGAUUGCUUAUGGAACAUGAAUCAACCAGCUGUCUAUGAUCUGUAUUAUUGUUUUGUGGGUACAGAACAGCAGGGCUAAGUCGUAUUUGUAGUUAAGUCCCUGAAUCCUUAGUACCAUUCACAUAACUAAGAUUGGGUCCACUCAAGUGCAUUAGCUUUUCUCAUGAAAGCCUUUCCUUAUCUCCAAAUCAAAUCAAAUUAUUAAGCAUUACAACCCUCUUUUACUUCAGUUAAAUCAUUGACAGUUUAUUAUAUAUGUGGUCCACAAACAGUUGGUAUUGAAUUUUAUAUAAUUAUAAUUAUUUUAUUUUUAAUUAAUAUAUAUCUUAGAAGAAUAUUUUUUUUAAAAAAAAUAAAGGCAAUAUAAAUUGUCGUACUUUAAUUGUAAAAAAAUAUUUAUUAAUAAUUAAUUAUGAUUUCUUCCAAUCCUAAUUUUAGACGACUCUACGUGUUAACUCCUGUUGACACAUUUGGUCAAGUCUUUCGACUACAUUAAUUAACUGUGAUUUGAGUUCUAUUUUAGAUUUUUCUUGUUGGCGGAUUAAUGAUAUAUAAAUUUCAUUGUAAAUAUUAGACGAGAUGGGUUAUCUCUAUUUGGCGUUAGAAGGGCAUGCCUUUUCCUAAUAUAUAUAUUUUUUUAGUAAAAAGAAAAAAAGAGAGUUGACUCUAUGUUGAAUAUAUUAUAUACUAAAUUUAAUGUAUUUUGCAAGAUGAAUGACAUUGAAAUUGUUAGAGGAGCGAAUGACAAAAAUGCAUGUCCUUAAGUUGGAGUUGUACUUCAAGUUCCAUCAUGGGUGUACUGCCAAGUGAAGUGAAAACAUGGCCUUCAUUGUGUUCACUGUUUUCUCAACUUACAACAUUUAUGCAAUCCUGCUUCCCCUCCCAAUUAAUAGUGACAGAACAAACGGCCUGAUUACUUCAAUUAUGAAUUAUCAAUGGUUACUUACCACAGUCUAACACCACUAUUAAUAACUUGAAAGCUCAUUGUCACAUCAUUUACCAGCUUUUUUCCUUCACCUGCUACGUACCACCGACACAUAUUCGGGAUUUGAAAACAAUAUAGCAAUAAAAUUAUAAAUAUAAGAUUAAAGUAUCAAAAUUGUUGUGAUUAUUAUUGUCAUGGGUAUGUAUUAUAUCAAAUACUUUUACUGAGUUUUACAUAUAUAUUUAUAUAUUUGCUUAUUUUUUAAUUUCUAUGACAAUAUAAAUGUGAUAUAAUAUUAAUUAAAUGAAUAAUAAUAUUUCAUUAUAUAGUAAUCAAUAAAGUUGACAUAUAAAACAUUAAAUUUGUGUAAUGGAGUUAAUAAAUAUUAUAUAGAUGUAUGUUGUAUUGAAAUUCACUUUUUUGUUAUUUCUUUUUAAGUUAUUCCUUCAAAACGAUAUCAUUUUGAGAGUUAUGUUAAUAUUUUUAUUGCUUGAAAUAUGACAACUGAAAAGUGAAGUCCAUGUUGUAUUAUAUCUCAGUCAUGUCUCA
rnacentral:lncRNA from 1 species